rnacentral:rRNA from 1 species
UAGAGUUUGAUCAUGGCUCAGGACGAACGCUGGCGGCGUGCUUAACACAUGCAAGUCGGACGGUUAGUAGGUGAAAGCUUGCUGGAUCCUACUGAUAGUGGCGGACGGGUGAGUAACACGUGAGAACCUGACCCAAGCAGGGGGACAACUGCUGGAAACGGCAGCUAAUACCCCAUAGGCGGGAGACCGUUAAAGGAGUGAUCCGGCUUGGGAGGGGCUCGCGGCCUAUCAGCUAGUAGGUGUGGUAAUGGCGCACCUAGGCGAUGACGGGUAGCCGGCCUGAGAGGGUGUACGGCCACACUGGAACUGAGAUACGGUCCAGACUCCUACGGGAGGCAGCAGUGGGGAAUAUUGGGCAAUGGGGGCAACCCUGACCCAGCGACGCCGCGUGGGGGAAGAAGUCCUUCGGGAUGUAAACCUCUGUUGUGUGGGAAGAAGGAUGUGACGGUACCACACGAGGAAGCCCCGGCAAACUACGUGCCAGCCGCCGCGGUAAUACA